rnacentral:lncRNA from 1 species
GGCGUGCUCGUGGGUCAGUGCGGGUUCUAGGCGAAAAAAAACAAAACAAAAAAACCGAAAGUUAAUUGGCCGCGCAAUGCUCGUAACCCGUCAAAGGUUUUCGCACUUCCUCAAGAAUUCAGAACAAUCUGCGCUUGCUCCCAGCUUGUUGUUGUUUGUGGCUGUUUGGCGUUUGACUUUCUCUGUUUCUCUGAACAAAUUUCAC